rnacentral:rRNA from 1 species
CCUACGGGAGGCAGCAGUAAGGGAUAUUGGUCAAUGGGGGAAACCCUGAACCCGCAACGUCGCGUGAGGGAAGACGGUUUUAGGAUUGUAACCCUCUGUUCUCUGUGACGAUGAUGAGGGUAGCAGAGGAGGCAGGUAGGGUGAACGCCGUGCCAGCAGCGGCGGUAACACGGAGGGAGCGCGCGGUGUCCCGAUUUACUGGGUGUAAAGGGGGCGUAGGCGGCUUGGCAAGUCAGUUGUGAAAUCCAUGGGUUUAACCCACGAACUUCUGUUGAAACUGGCGGGCUUGAGUGAAGUAGAGGUAGGCGGAAUUCCGGGUGUAGCGGUGAAAUGCGUAGAGAUCGGGAAGAACACCGAUGGCGAAGGCAGCCUACUGGGGUCUAACUGACGCUGAGGCACGAAAGCGUGGGUAGCGAACAGGAUUAGAUACCCCGGUAGUC